rnacentral:rRNA from 1 species
UUGAACGCUGGCGGCAUGCUUUACACAUGCCAGUCGAACGGCAGCGCGGGCUUCGGCCUGGCGGCGAGUGGCGAACGGGUGAGUAAUACAUCGGAACGUGCCCAGUAGUGGGGGAUAGCUCGGCGAAAGCCGGAUUAAUACCGCAUACGACCUGAGGGUGAAAGCGGGGGAUCUUCGGACCUCGCGCUAUUGGAGCGGCCGAUGGCAGAUUAGCUAGUUGGUGGGGUAAAGGCCUACCAAGGCGACGAUCUGUAGCUGGUCUGAGAGGACGACCAGCCACACUGGGACUGAGACACGGCCCAGACUCCUACGGGAGGCAGCAGUGGGGAAUUUUGGACAAUGGGCGAAAGCCUGAUCCAGCAAUGCCGCGUGUGUGAUGAAGGCCUUCGGGUUGUAAAGCACUUUUGGCGGGAACGAAAAGGACUGUGCCAAUACCACGGUUCGAUGACGGUACCCGCAGAAUAAGCACCGGCUAACUACGU